AGCGAACGCUGGCGGCAGGCUUAACGCAUGCAAGUCGAACGGGCAUAGCAAUAUGUCAGUGGCAGACGGGUGAGUAACGCGUGGGAACGUACCUUUUGGUUCGGAACAACACAGGGAAACUUGUGCUAAUACCGGAUAAGCCCUUACGGGGAAAGAUUUAUCGCCGAAAGAUCGGCCCGCGUCUGAUUAGCUAGUUGGUAGGGUAAUGGCCUACCAAGGCGACGAUCAGUAGCUGCUCUGAGAGGAUGAUCAGCCACAUUGGGACUGAGACACGGCCCAAACUCCUACGGGAGGCAGCAGUGGGGAAUAUUGGACAAUGGGCGAAAGCCUGAUCCAGCCAUGCCGCGUGAGUGAUGAAGGCCCUAGGGUUGUAAAGCUCUUUUGUGCGGGAAGAUAAUGACGGUACCGGAAGAAUAAGCCCCGGCUAACUUCGUG
rnacentral:rRNA from 1 species